UAGUCUGCAACUCGACUACAUGAAGCUGGAAUCGCUAGUAAUCGUAGAUCAGCAUGCUACGGUGAAUACGUUCCCGGGUCUUGUACACACCGCCCGUCACACCACGAGAGUUUGUAACACCCGAAGCCGGUGGAGUAACCUUUUAGGAGCUAGCCGUCGAAGGUGGGACAAAUGAUUGGGGUGAAGUCGUAACAAGGUAGCCGUAUCGGAAGGUGCGGUUGGAUCACCUCCUUUCUAAGGA
rnacentral:rRNA from 1 species